CGGUACGUACUGGUAUUGUUGGUUUCUCCCUUCUGACGAACCAUGAUGUCAUUUAUUUGGUGUUGUGGGGAAUCAGGACUGUUACUUUGAAAAAAUUAGAGUGUUCAAAGCAGGCUCACGCUUGAAUACAUUAGCAUGGAAUAAUGAAAUAGGACGUUUGAUUCUAUUUUGUUGGUUUCUAGGAUCGACGUAAUGAUUAAUAGGGAUAGUUGGGGGCAUUAGUAUUCAAUUGUCAGAGGUGAAAUUCUUGGAUUUAUUGAAGACUAACUACUGCGAAAGCAUUUGCCAAGGAUGUUUUCAUUAAUCAAGAACGAAAGUUAGGGGAUCGAAGACGAUCAGAUACCGUCGUAGUCUUAACCAUAAACUAUGCCGACUAGGGAUCGGAUGAUGUUAAUUUUUUAAUGACUCAUUCGGCGCCUUACG
rnacentral:rRNA from 1 species